GGUACGGGGAUGAGGGUUCGAUUCCGGAGAGGGAGCCUGAGAGACGGCUACCACAUCUAAGGAGGGCAGCAGGCGCGCAAAUUACCCAAUCCACAGAGUGGGAGGUAGUGACGAGACAUACAGGGGGUGCCCCAAGAGGGCGCCAUCCGGAAUGAACGCAAUGUAAAGCGGUCGAUGAGGACCUACUGGAGGGCAAGUCUGGUGCCAGCAGCCGCGGUAAUUCCAGCUCCAGUAGUGUAUAUCAACAUUGUUGCGCUUAAAACGCUCGCAGUUGGAUUGGGGGCGCCGAGUCGGUGGCCAGACAACAGUGGUGGCCGGCAGCCGUAGCACCUAAAUUGGGCCAAUUCUAUGGGCUGGAUGAAAGGAGCUCGGGCGGCGCCCAUCGCACCGGCCGCCGCCCCGUUGACGCGAGGCGGCGAACCGGUGGAGCGGGCCUUGAAUGAAACAUGGUGCUCAAAGCAGGCGCAAGCUGGAGUGUGAUAGCAUGGAACGAGUAGCAGCCGCCCGCCACUAGAGUAAGUGGAGGGGCGGCUCGGCGGUCGCAGGGACACGGGAGGGCACUGGGACUUUGUGGCGAGAGGUGAAAUUUGGAGACCCACAAACGACCAACUAGUGCGAAGGCAUUUGUCAAGAGUGUUUUCAUUGAUCAGGAACGAAGGUUGGAGAAUCGAAGACGAUCAGAUACCGUCCUAGUUUCGACAGAAAACUAUGCCAGCCAAGGGCGAGCGCGACCACCCUGACCAGGGGAAGAGUCAUGUUGGCCGUUAGGGGAAACCUGUAGCUUUGGGGCUGCUGGGAGAAUAUCGCUGCAAGGCUGAAAUUUAAAGAAAUUGACGGAGAGGCACCACCAGGAGUGGAGCUUGCGGCUUAAUUUGACUCAACACGGGGAAACUGACCAGGUCCAGACGCUGGGAGGAUUGACAGAGUGGUGGAUCUUUCAUGAUUCGGUGAUUGGUGGUGCAUGGCCGUUCUUAGUUGGUGGAGUGAUCUGUCAGGUCGAUUCCGGUAACGAGCGAGACCGGGGCGUGCGGUUCCGGCUCGCCAGCUUGAUCAUGACUGGUUGGGAGGGCGAGUGAGUGUGACAACGGAUGCACGGACGGCCGGCGAGAAGCCGGAGGAAGCGCGGCAAUAACAGGUCUGUGAUGCCCUUGGAUGUCCUGGGCUGCACGCGUGCUACAAUGGCAACAGUAGAGAGUGGUGGCUGGCUCGAGAGAGCCGGCCAAGCUGCCAAUGGUUGUCGUGAUGGGGAUUGAGCCUUGCAAUUGUUGCUCAUGAAAGAGGAAUUCCUCGUAAGCACGAGUCACCAGCUUGUGUUGAAUAGGUCUCUGCCUCUUGUACACACCGCCCGUCGCUACUACCAACUGAGUUGUCUCCAGAGCGGGCGGGACCGGCCCUUGUAACAGAGGGCCGAA
rnacentral:rRNA from 1 species